rnacentral:rRNA from 1 species
CCCAGACUCCUACGGGAGGCAGCAGUGGGGAAUAUUGCACAAUGGGGGGAACCCUGAUGCAGCGACGCCGCGUGAGUGAAGAAGUAUUUCGGUAUGUAAAGCUCUCUCAGCAGGGAAGAAAAUGACGGUACCUGACUAAGAAGCCCCGGCUAACUACGUGCCAGCAGCCGCGGUAAUACGUAGGGGGCAAGCGUUAUCCGGAUUUACUGGGUGUAAAGGGAGCGCAGACGGCUGUGCAAGUCUGGAGUGAAAGGCGGGGGCCCAACCCCCGGACUGCUCUGGAAACUGUAAAGCUGGAGUGCAGGAGAGGUAAGCGGAAUUCCUAGUGUAGCGGUGAAAUGCGUAGAUAUUAGGAGGAACACCAGUGGCGAAGGCGGCUUACUGGACUGCAACUGACGUUGAGGCUCGAAAGCGUGGGGAGCAAACAGGAUUAGAUACCCGCGUA